rnacentral:rRNA from 1 species
AACGUCCUACGGGAGGCAGCAGUGGGGAAUAUUGCACAAUGGGGGAAACCCUGAUGCAGCGAACGCCGCGUGAGCGAAGAAGUAUUUCGGUAUGUAAAGCUCUAUCAGCAGGGAAGAAGAAUGACGGUACCUGACUAAGAAGCACCGGCUAAAUACGUGC